rnacentral:rRNA from 1 species
GGAUUAGAUACCCUGGUAGUCCACGCCGUAAACGAUGUCUAUUAGCCGUUGGGCAGCUUGACUGUUUAGUGGCGCAGCUAACGCGAUAAAUAGACCGCCUGGGGAGUACGGCCGCAAGGUUAAAACUCAAAUGAAUUGACGGGGGCCCGCACAAGCGGUGGAGCAUGUGGUUUAAUUCGACGCAACGCGAAGAACCUUACCAGGUCUUGACAUCCUCGGAACUUUCUAGAGAUAGAUUGGUGCCUUCGGGAAUCGAGUGACAGGUGCUGCAUGGCUGUCGUCAGCUCGUGCCG